UACGUAGGGUGCAAGCGUUAAUCGGAAUUACUGGGCGUAAAGCGUGCGCAGGCGGCUAUGCAAGACAGAUGUGAAAUCCCCGGGCUCAACCUGGGAACUGCAUUUGUGACUGUACGGCUAGAGUGUGUCAGAGGGGGGUAGAAUUCCACGUGUAGCAGUGAAAUGCGUAGAGAUGUGGAGGAAUACCGAUGGCGAAGGCAGCCCCCUGGGAUAACACUGACGCUCAUGCACGAAAGCGUGGGGAGCAAACAGG
rnacentral:rRNA from 1 species